rnacentral:rRNA from 1 species
GACGAACGCUGGCGGCGUGCUUAACACAUGCAAGUCGAACGAAGUGGCGAACGGGUGAGUAACGCGUAAUCACCCUGUCCUUCAGAGGGGGACAACAGUUGGAAACGACCGCUAAUCCCGCAUACUGAAGGAGGGGAAUGCGUCUGAUUAGCUAGUUGGUGGGGUAACGGCCCACCAAGGCGAUGAUCAGUAGCAGGUCCGGGAGGAUGAACGGCCAAAUUGGGACUGAGACACGGCCCAGACUCCUGCGGGAGGCAGCAGUGGGGAAUCUUCCGCAAUUGACGAAAGUCUGACGAAGCAACGCCGCGUGAGGGAUGACGGCCUUCGGGUUGUAAAGCUCUGUUAAUCGGGACGCGGUACCGGAAUAGAAAGCCACGGCUAACUACGUGCCAGCAGCCGCGGUAAUAC